rnacentral:rRNA from 1 species
ACGGAGGGUGCAAGCGUUAUUCGGAAUUACUGGGCGUAAAGCGCGUGUAGGCGGUCCUGCAAGUCUGAUGUGAAAGCCCCGGGCUUAACCCGGGAAGUGCAUUGGAAACUGUGGGACUUGAGUACUGGAGAGGAUGGGGGAAUUCCCGGUGUAGGGGUGAAAUUCGUUGAGAUUGGGAGGAAUAACCGUGGCGAAGGCGCCCAACUGGACCGUAACUGACGCUUAGACGCGAAAGCGUGGGGAGCAAACAG